UAGGGAAUCUUCCACAACGGGCGAAAGCCUGAUGGAGCAACGCCGCGUGUGUGAUGAAGGCUUUCGGGUCGUAAAGCACUGUUGUAUGGGAAGAACAGCUAGAAUAGGAAAUGAUUUUAGUUUGACGGUACCAUACCAGAAAGGGACGGCUAAAUACGUGCCAG
rnacentral:rRNA from 1 species